CAGUCGCCACGGGAAUACGUAGGGUGCAAGCGUUAAUCGGAAUUACUGGGCGUAAAGCGUGCGCAGGCGGUUAUAUAAGACAGAUGUGAAAUCCCCGGGCUCAACCUGGGAACUGCAUUUGUGACUGUAUAGCUAGAGUACGGCAGAGGGGGAUGGAAUUCCGCGUGUAGCAGUGAAAUGCGUAGAUAUGCGGAGGAACACCGAUGGCGAAGGCAAUCCCCUGGGCAUGUACUGACGCUCAUGCACGAAAGCGUGGGGAGCAAACAGGAUUAGAUACCCGAGUAGUCCCUGUCUCUUAUAA
rnacentral:rRNA from 1 species